CCUACGGGAGGCUGCAGUGGGGAAUAUUGGACAAUGGGCGAAAGCCUGAUCCAGCCAUGCCGCGUGUGUGAGGAAGGCCUUCGGGUUGUAAAGCACUUUCAGUGGGGAAGAAAGCCUUGGGGCUAAUACCCUCGAGGAAGGACAUCACCCACAGAAGAAGCACCGGCUAACUCCGUGCCAGCAGCCGCGGUAAUACGGAGGGUGCGAGCGUUAAUCGGAAUUACUGGGCGUAAAGCGCGCGUAGGCGGUCUGAUAAGCCGGUUGUGAAAGCCCCGGGCUCAACCUGGGAACGGCAUCCGGAACUGUCAGGCUAGAGUGCAGGAGAGGAAGGUAGAAUUCCCGGUGUAGCGGUGAAAUGCGUAGAGAUCGGGAGGAAUACCAGUGGCGAAGGCGGCCUUCUGGACUGACACUGACGCUGAGGUGCGAAAGCGUGGGUAGCAAACAGGAUUAGAUACCCUGGUAGUC
rnacentral:rRNA from 1 species